rnacentral:rRNA from 1 species
GACGAACGCUGGCGGCGUGCCUAAUACAUGCAAGUCGAGCGCAGGAAACUGACGGAACUCUUCGGAGGGAAGGCAGUGGAAUGAGCGGCGGACGGGUGAGUAACACGUAAGGAACCUGCCUCAAGGAUUGGGAUAACUCCGAGAAAUCGGAGCUAAUACCGGAUAGUUCAACGGACCGCAUGGUCCGCUGAUGAAAGGCGCUUCGGCGUCACGUUGAGAUGGCCUUGCGGUGCAUUAGCUAGUUGGUGGGGUAACGGCCCACCAAGGCGAUGAUGCAUAGCCGACCUGAGAGGGUGAUCGGCCACACUGGGACUGAGACACGGCCCAGACUCCUACGGGAGGCAGCAGUAGGGAAUCUUCCACAAUGGACGAAAGUCUGAUGGAGCAACGCCGCGUGAGUGAUGAAGGUUUUCGGAUCGUAAAACUCUGUUGUAAGGGAAGAACACGUACGAGAGGGAAUGCUCGUACCUUGACGGUACCUUACGAGAAAGCCACGGCUAACUACGUGCCAGCCGCCGCGGUAA